rnacentral:rRNA from 1 species
GACGAACGCUGGCGGCGUGCCUAAUACAUGCAAGUAGAACGCUGAAGAGAGGAGCUUGCUCUUCUUGGAUGAGUUGCGAACGGGUGAGUAACGCGUAGGUAACCUGCCUUGUAGCGGGGGAUAACUAUUGGAAACGAUAGCUAAUACCGCAUAACAAUGGAUGAAACAUGUCAUUUCUUUGAAAGGGGCAAUUGCUCCACUACAAGAUGGACCUGCGUUGUAUUAGCUAGUAGGUGAGGUAACGGCUCACCUAGGCGACGAUACAUAGCCGACCUGAGAGGGUGAUCGGCCACACUGGGACUGAGACACGGCCCAGACUCCUACGGGAGGCAGCAGUAGGGAAUCUUCGGCAAUGGGGGCAACCCUGACCGAGCAACGCCGCGUGAGUGAAGAAGGUUUUCGGAUCGUAAAGCUCGGUUGUAAGUCAAGAACGAGUGUGAGAGUGGAAAGUUCACACUGUGACGGUAGCUUACCAGAAAGGGACGGCUAACUACGUG